CCUACGGGAGGCAGCAGUGGGGAAUAUUGGACAAUGGGCGAAAGCCUGAUCCAGCCAUGCCGCGUGUGUGAAGAAGGUCUUCGGAUUGUAAAGCACUUUAAGUUGGGAGGAAGGGUUGUAGAUUAAUACUCUGCAAUUUUGACGUUACCGACAGAAUAAGCACCGGCUAACUCUGUGCCAGC
rnacentral:rRNA from 1 species